UAGGAGAGGAAAAUCAGAAACUGCUCGUGCUCAGUACAUAAACACAAAGGAUGUGAGGCUGACAAUAAGCACUUGGAAUGUUGCUGGAAGAGUUCCGGAUGAAAACCUUGAUAUUGAUGAUUGGAUUUCUUUAGAAGAGCCAUCGGACAUCUACAUUUUCGGGUGAAAACAGAAGAACAAAUGGGAUAUAAGUAUGGCGAGGCUUGCUUUCGUUUAUGUUUCUAGUAUUAUGUACCAUUUAGACUUAAAUUUUUGUUUUAUUUCGACAUGUUAUGCAUAGAAAUACUUGGGAUGUUGUUAUGUACUUUGAGCAUCAAUAUUAAUCAAAAUUUAUUUACUUACGA